rnacentral:rRNA from 1 species
UACGGGGGGGGCAAGCGUUGUUCGGAAUUACUGGGCGUAAAGGGUUUGUAGGUGGCUUGUUAAGUCAGACGUGAAAUCCCUCAGCUUAACUGGGGAACUGCGUCUGAUACUGGCGAGCUUGAGUGCAGGAGAGGAACGCGGAAUUCCAGGUGUAGCGGUGAAAUGCGUAGAUAUCUGGAGGAACACCGGUGGCGAAGGCGGCAUCCCGGACCAAUUCUGACACUGAGGAGCGAAAGCCAGGGGAGCAAACGGG